GGCGUACGGGUGCGGAACACGUGUGCAACCUGCCUUUAUCUGGGGGAUAGCCUUUCGAAAGGAAGAUUAAUACCCCAUAAUAUGUUGAAUGGCAUCAUUCGACAUUGAAAACUCCGGUGGAUAGAGAUGGGCACGCGCAAGAUUAGAUAGUUGGUGAGGUAACGGCUCACCAAGUCUACGAUCUUUAGGGGGCCUGAGAGGGUGAUCCCCCACACUGGUACUGAGACACGGACCAGACUCCUACGGGAGGCAGCAGUGAGGAAUAUUGGACAAUGGGUGAGAGCCUGAUCCAGCCAUCCCGCGUGAAGGACGACUGCCCUAUGGGUUGUAAACUUCUUUUGUAUAGGGAUAAACCUACCCUCGUGAGGGUAGCUGAAGGUACUAUACGAAUAAGCACCGGCUAACUCCGUGCCAGCAGCCGCGGUAAUACGGAGGGUGCAAGCGUUAUCCGGAUUUAUUGGGUUUAAAGGGUCCGCAGGCGGAUCUGUAAGUCACANUGGUGAAAUCUCACAGCUUAACUGUGAAACUGCCAUUGAUACUGCAGGUCUUGAGUGUUGUUGAAGUAGCUGGAAUAAGUAGUGUAGCGGUGAAAUGCAUAGA
rnacentral:rRNA from 1 species